GACGAACGCUGGCGGCGUGCUUAACACAUGCAAGUCGAACGGAAAGGCCCUGCUUUUGUGGGGUGCUCGAGUGGCGAACGGGUGAGUAACACGUGAUUAACCUGCCCUUGACUUUGGGAUAACUUCAGGAAACUGGGGCUAAUACCGGAUAGGAGCUCCUGCUGCAUGGUGGGGGUUGGAACGUUUCGGCGGUUGGGGAUGGACUCGCGGCUUAUCAGCUUGUUGGUGGGGUAGUGGCUUACCAAGGCUUUGACGGGUAGCCGGCCUGAGGGGGUGACCGGCCACAUUGGGACUGAGAUACGGCCCAGACUCCUACGGGAGGCAGCAGUGGGGAAUAUUGCACAAUGGGCGGAAGCCUGAUGCAGCAACGCCGCGUGCGGGAUGACGGCCUUCGGGUUGUAAACCGCUUUCGCCUGUGACGAAGCGUGAGUGACGGUAAUGGGUAAAGAAGCACCGGCUAACUACGUG
rnacentral:rRNA from 1 species